GCCUGGGUGGCUCAGUCAGUUGAGCGUCUGACUUCAGCUCAGGUCAUGAUCUUGUGGUUUGAGAGUUUGAACCCCACAUCAGGCU
rnacentral:tRNA from 1 species